AUGAGAGCAAAGAAGCAACGCGCGGGGCGGAUCCAGAGGCUUGGAUGGACAAGACCAGCUGAAGGAUUUGUCAGUCUAAAUGUCGAUGCCUCUUUUGAUGCAGAUAGCGGCACCGGUGGAACGGGUGCCAUUAUACGAGACUCCAUGGGAGCAUUCAUUGCAGCGUCGGCGUGCCACAUUCCCUUCUUCGAGGACGCAGCAACGACGGAGGCUAGAGGCCUCAAGGACGGGCUGAUCCUCGCGAACAAUAUUGGAUGCAACAAGGUGGAUAUUCGAACUGAUUGUAUGGAGGUGAUUGAAAUCAUGCAACAUGGAGGGAAUUCCUUAGGUCCAGCUGUAGCCACCUACGAGGAGAGUUCCCUCUUAUGUCGUAAUUUUAUUUCUGUUACUUUCUAUCAUUGCCCUAGGGAGGCCAAUAUGGCGGCCGAUUUGUUGGCUACAAAGUCGGAGCACUCGAGAACUAUUGUGUGGCAGAACGAGGCUCCGGACUUUUUCCUUGAUGUACUCUCAAAUGAUGUAGCCCUAUUUCCACAUGAAAUAUAA
rnacentral:rRNA from 1 species